rnacentral:lncRNA from 1 species
GCACAUGAUAAUUUGAAUGUGAUAAUUUGCAAUAUGCAUUAAWAUCUUUCUUUGCAGGGUGGUGAAGCACACAAGCCAGGAUAUGGAAGYGGAAAAUUCUAUGAGCAUAAAUCUGCUCAUAAGGGACACAAGGGAUCCUAUCAUGAGGGCCAGGGCACUCUUUCCAGAAUCUUUAAACUGGGAGGCUCUGGGUCCCGACCUGGAUCGCGGUCUGGUUCCCCCAUUGCUAGGCGCUGAAGCUCCAAGACGCCAUCCAAGGAUCAUGUACUCUGCUUCAUAAUAUAACUGCCUUAAAAUUAGUAACAGCUGUCACAAUUACCUAGAUAGAUGCAAUCCAUUACUUAAUGCCAGUUAGUUUCUGCAUGCAGUAGAUGACACAAACUUCUAUUGGCAAUCCCUGARCAACAGUUGAAUGAAAGGAACAUAAAAAAGUAGGUUUGCUAGAUGUUUUCCUUAUUUUAUAUGAAGUAACAAGAUCUCUGACUUUACCCAUUCUUCUUCAGGAUGCCCUAACUGUAUGCUGGACUCCUUUAUUUCUCCCCAAGCACCUAAUUUAAGCUCAACUCUUCUGGUUUCGUUUUAGUGAACAUCAGAAUUACAAAUAAAGAGCUAUAAUGUCUUGGAUACUGAGCACUGCUGUUAAUGAAUUUUUGAGACACUGAUGUUAGAAACAAAAAAAACCCCAACAUGUGCAGAAGUUGUGAGGACUGUUUAUCCAAAUUUUCUUUUUUUGUUGUUUUGUUUCGUUUUGUUUUAAUCUUCCUUCUCUCACUCACAGAAUAAUUUAUUUUCAUAACAGGAUUAGGCAGUCAUGGAAAGGUUUAUCAAACAUUGGGAGUUCAAGGCAUGUGAAGUGUGGGAGGGGGCAGAUGUUGAAGAAUCAAUACGAUGUGGAGCAAUAGCAAUAAGGAAAUUCUUUCCAUACCAUGAAUUGCUGAUUGCAUCCAAACCAUUAGAAUAAAGAGUAGAUGAGGGAGAGAAAGAGGAUUUCAAAUUUGAGUUAGACUAAUGUUACAAAACAAGGGAGAUUCCCAGAGAAACAUCUAAGACUGCACACGUGACCACUGGAUGUCACUGGUGCUUCACAUAAACUCUGCUGCAACAGCAUUAACUUCGCAGCACAAUAAGUAAAUAAGCAUAUAAACAAAAAAAGUCUAAUUUCCGAAAGAAAGCCCUUCAGUACUGGUAUCUUAGAUAGUCCUGCACAUCUCACAUUAGAUUUCUUGGUAUUGCAGCAGUGUUAUAUUUGAUUGGCUCAUCUUUUACCUGAGUAACAUCUGGAUGCCUAUUAARGGCAGUACACCAAAGCAAAUUCAUAGUAAACUACUGUGAACAUUUAACUGUUGURUUGUAGUUGCCUCGUAGAAAUAAAUUAUAGCUUAGUUAGAUUUAGAUAGGAAUUGUUCACAAAUUACUAAAAUGAAUGUGUGGAGAUGGUAUUUCCAACCACACUUAGGGAAAUAAAAGGCUCUUCUGAAUUGCACUGUUUUAUUACUUAAACUUACCAUUUCUUCAAACUGUCAUCUAAGUGUCAGAUUAAUUAUUUUAUAUUUYAGUUUUAGCCUAUGCACUGUAGAUUACAGUUAGUGCUUCCUAGGUUGAAACAGCAUUCCUAAUAAGUGCCCAGUAAAAGUUACCUAUAAGUAUAUAUGUUAAUUGCAUUUCACAYCUAAAUCUAUUGUAGGUUUAAAUCAGUGUCCAUUAAUAUGAAACAAUGGAAGAUGAGAUGAUAGAAAAUACAUAGAGACUAAAGAAAACAAAACUGCCAAAAUUAUUAAGCAGACACACAUAUUACAUCUAUUAUCUUCGUUGGUUGCUAUGUGUAUUUUUCUAUUGUAGCUUCAUUCAGAUGUAUACUCUGCAACAUAAUAGUUGAUUUAAUUUGAACACAUAUUGUUCUUAUAGGAACACAGCUUUUAAAAAUAG